rnacentral:rRNA from 1 species
CAGUAGCCGCGGUAAUACGUAGGUGGCAAGCGUUGUCCGGAAUUAUUGGGCGUAAAGGGCUCGCAGGCGGUUUCUUAAGCCUGAUGUGAAAGCCCCCGGCUCAACCGGGGAGGGUCAUUGGAAACUGGGAAACUUGAGUGCAGAAGAGGAGAGUGGAAUUCCACGUGUAGCGGUGAAAUGCGUAGAAAUGUGGAGGAACACCAGUGGCGAAGGCGACUCUCUGGUCUGUAACUGACGCUGAGGAGCGAAAGCGUGGGGAGCGAACAGGAUUAGAUACCCGAGUAGUCCCUGUCUCUUAUAC